AACGCUAAAAUCAAUCACCUACAGGUCCUUACCUUCCUGCAAAAACAUCACACCCAGCAGCACCUGGAUCAGUGGGAACAGGAAGAUCACACUCAGUGGUUCCCACCUGGAGUUUGUGGAAGGGGUCUUACACAGCCACGCCCUGCAUGAGGUCAGACUUCCCAGAAACAACACCUCUCAGAAUCUGACCUAUGACACACCGGCAGCUGUAAAUAAUCCAGAGAGUUUUACAAGCAGUGUGUCUUUGAAAGUAGCCAAUGAAACGUUGG